rnacentral:tRNA from 1 species
UCUAAUAUGGCAGAUUAGUGCCAUGGGUUUAAAUUCCAUAAAUAAAGUUUAUUUCUUUUUUUAGAA